rnacentral:rRNA from 1 species
CAGCCGCCGCGGGAAUACGUAGGUGGCAAGCGUUGUCCGGAAUUAUUGGGCGUAAAGGGCUCGCAGGCGGUUUCUCAAGUCUGAUGUGAAAGCCCCCGGCUCAACCGGGGAGGGUCAUUGGAAACUGGGAAACUUGAGUGCAGAAGAGGAGAGUGGAAUUCCACGUGUAGCGGUGAAAUGCGUAGAGAUGUGGAGGAACACCAGUGGCGAAGGCGACUCUCUGGUCUGUAACUGUCGCUGAGGAGCGAAAGCGUGGGGAGCGAACAGGAUUAGAUACCCCUGUAGUCCCUGUCUCUUAUAC